rnacentral:rRNA from 1 species
AUUGAACGCUGGCGGCAGGCCUAACACAUGCAAGUCGAGCGGAGCGGCGGACGGGUGAGUAAUGCCUAGGAAUCUGCCUGGUAGUGGGGGAUAACGUCAGGAAACGGGCGCUAAGACCGCAUACUAGCAGAUGAGCCUAGGUCGGAUUAGCUAGUUGGUGGGGUAAAGGCCUACCAAGGCGACGAUCCGUAACUUGCCUGAGAGGAUGAUCCGUCAAACUGGAACUGAGACACGGUCCAGAUUCCUACGGGAGUCAGCAGUGGGGAAUCUUGGACAAGGGGCGAAAGCCUGAUCCAGCCAUUCCGCGUGUGUGAAGAAGGUCUUCGGAUUGUAAAGCACUUUAAGUUUGGAGGCGUUACCAACAGAAUAAGCACCGGCUAACUUCGUGCCAGCAGCCGCGGUAAUUC